rnacentral:rRNA from 1 species
AACGAACGCUGGCGGCAUGCCUAACACAUGCAAGUCGAACGAGACCUUCGGGUCUAGUGGCGCACGGGUGCGUAACGCGUGGGAACCUGCCCUUAGGUUCGGCAUAACUCCCCGAAAGGGGUGCUAAUACCGGAUAAUGUCUUCGGACCAAAGAUUUAUCGCCUUUGGAUGGGCCCGCGUUGGAUUAGCUCGUUGGUAGGGUAAAAGCCUACCAAGGCGACGAUCCAUAGCUGGUCUGAGAGGAUGAUCAGCCACACUGGGACUGAGACACGGCCCAGACUCCUACGGGAGGCAGCAGUGGGGAAUAUUGGACAAUGGGCGAAAGCCUGAUCCAGCAAUGCCGCGUGAGUGAUGAAGGCCUUAGGGUUGUAAAGCUCUUUUACCCGGGAUGAUAAUGACAGUACCGGGAGAAUAAGCUCCGGCUAACUCCGUG